rnacentral:rRNA from 1 species
UACGUAGGUCGCAAGCGUUGUCCGGAUUUACUGGGCGUAAAGAGCGCGCAGGCGGCUGGUCAAGUCCGAUGUGAAAUCUCCCGGCUCAACUGGGAAACUGCAUCGGAAACUGAUCGGCUUGAAGAUGGGAGAGGGUAGUGGAAUUCCCGGUGUAGUGGUGAAAUGCGUAGAUAUCGGGAGGAACACCAGUGGCGAAGGCGGCUUUCUGGACGACAACUGACGCUGAGACGCGAAAGCGUGGGGAGCAAACAGG